rnacentral:rRNA from 1 species
CUUUAAGGGUCCUGAAGGAGCGUUGAAGACGACGACGUUGAUAGGCCGGGUGUGUAAGCGCAGCGAUGCGUUGAGCUAACCGGUACUAAUGAACCGUGAGGCUUAACCUU